UAGGGAAUCUUCCACAAUGGGCGCAAGCCUGAUGGAGCAACACCACGUGAGUGAAGAAGGGUUUCGGCUCGUAAAGCUCUGUUGUUAAAGAAGAACACGUAUGAGAGUAACUGUUCAUACGUUGACGGUAUUUAACCAGAAAGUCACGGCUAACUACGUGCCAG
rnacentral:rRNA from 1 species